GUGCAGCAGGCGAGAAUCCUUCGCAAUGCAGGAAACUGCGACGAGGGAACUCCAAGUGCCUACGCUCAGCGUAGGCUGUUCUCAAGCCUAGAAAGCUUGAGGAGUAAGGGCUGGGUAAGACGGGUGCCAUCUGUGGUAGCAGUCAAUAGAUUCGAUUUGUUACUGCAAGGCAUAAGCCGCCGCGGUAAUACCCGCAGCCCAAGUGGUGGCCGCUUUUAUUGGGCCUAAAGCGUCCGUAGCCGGCCCGGUAAAUGCCUGGGUAAAUCGU
rnacentral:rRNA from 1 species